rnacentral:rRNA from 1 species
AGCAGCCGCGGUAAUUCCAGCUCCAAUAGCGUAUAUUAAAGUUGUUGCAGUUAAAAAGCUCGUAGUUGAAUUUCGAGAUCAAUUUGUGGGUCGUGCCUCGGUACGUACUGGCAUUAUUGAUUUCUCCCUUCUGAAGAACCGCGAUGUCAUUAAUUUGGUGUCGUGGGGAAUCAGGACUGUUACUUUGAAAAAAUUAGAGUGUUUAAAGCAGGCACACGCUUGAAUACAUUAGCAUGGAAUAAUGAAAUAGGACGUUUGAUUCUAUUUUGUUGGUUUCUAGGAUCGACGUAAUGAUUAAUAGGGAUAGUUGGGGGCAUUAGUAUUCAAUUGUCAGAGGUGAAAUUCUUGGAUUUAUUGAAGACUAACUACUGCGAAAGCAUUUGCCAAGGAUGUUUUCAUUAAUCAAGAACGAAAGUUAGGGGAUCGAAGACGAUCAGAUACCGUCGUAGUCUUAACCAUAAACUAUGCCGACUAGGGAUCGGAUGAUGUUAAUUUUUUAAUGACUCA